AUUGAACGCUGGCGGCAGGCUUAACACAUGCAAGUCGAGCGGAGAUGAGGUGCUUGCACCUUAUCUUAGCGGCGGACGGGUGAGUAAUGCUUAGGAAUCUGCCUAUUAGUGGGGGACAACAUUCCGAAAGGAAUGCUAAUACCGCAUACGCCCUCCGGGGGAAAGCAGGGGAUCUUCGGACCUCGCGCUAAUAGAUGAGCCUAAGUCGGAUUGGCUAGUUGGUGGGGUAAAGGCCUACCAAGGCGACGAUCUGUAGCGGGUCUGAGAGGAUGAUCCGCCACACUGGGACUGAGACACGGCCCAGACUCCUACGGGAGGCAGCAGUGGGGAAUAUUGGACAAUGGGCGGAAGCCUGAUCCAGCCAUGCCGCGUGUGUGAAGAAGGCCUUUUGGUUGUAAAGCACUUUAAGCGAGGAGGAGGCUACCUAGAUUAAUACUCUGGGAUAGUGGACGUUACUCGCAGAAUAAGCACCGGCUAACUCUGUGCCAGCCGCCGCUGUAAUAC
rnacentral:rRNA from 1 species